ACUCGCCUGGGUCUCCGGUUGGCGGCUCGGACGGAGUUCAUUUGCCGGGCUGAGGUGGCGGCGUUGGCGGAGGGACACACACACGCACACGCACAGCGAGCUUCGGGGCAGGAGAAAGGGGUGGGGAGAGUGGGAGAGGGGGGAGGAAGGAGAGGGGGCGAGGGGAAGGGGAGACGCUGAGGGCGGAGGGGGCGAGCGGGACCCCGAGUCCGGAGAAAGGCCCGGGUAGACAGACGGAGACCGAGCGAGGCCGGCCGGGAGGGCCUGACGCACGGGGAAGGCCGAAGCCGCCGGGCGGGGCGGCCGCGAGGGACGAAGGCAGAAAGACGGGCAGACCGAGAGAAAGAAAGAAAGGGCGUCCGCCGCUUGGGGAUCCCGAGGCGAAGCGCGGCGGCGGCGGCGGCGGCGGCUGAAGAGACAGAUCCCGGUCCCGCCGACUCGCGAGCGGCGUCUCCGGCAGCGGGGGGAGUGGGCGGGCGGUCCCACAAACUGCAAGGAAAAGAAAAACCCUCAACAGGAAUUACCUUUAUACCUGAUGCCCCCAACAUAAUCUCUCUCCAAGGGAAACGUGUUUUUAUUGCCUUGCGGCUGAAAAUGUAUUCUCGAUUCUCCCCCUUCUCUCUUUUGUUGUGCAUUUUUUGGAUGUGGUAAAACUGGCAGUUUAUCUGAUUAUCUGGUUUUCAGAACUUUGGGCGAUGUCUCUGAGUGUCAUCAGUUGCUCUCUAGGUUUGACAUAGAUAAUUAAGCAACUACAAAGCGUGAUAAAGCUUUUGAGAGGGAGGAAAAUGUAUUUUGGAAGGAGGGAGAGACGCAAAGAGGCGAGCCUGUGUGUUGAGUCCCAGACUUGGUGUGUGACUACAGGCAAAGUACUUCACCUUUCUAGAUGUCAGCCCCGCCCCCCUCACCUCCCAAGUUUAAAUAAGAACUUAUUUUAGACUACAUGAUCCUGUUUUCAAUUUUUAAGAGUUCUGUGAUUUUGAGAUGAUCUCUCUUUAGUCCAGAAAAAUAGAGAAACGUAGGUCUAUGUUUGUUUCUCAAAAAAAUAUUUGAGGAGGACAGCUGUUACAAAACAGCUGGAGAACUCCAAAUUUUUAUGGUGGUUAGCUAGGUGCAAAUGGGUACAAUUUUAGGUUUGUUCAAAUAAACAUAGGGGAAAAGUAAAAGUACAGGAAAAUUACGUUAUACAUAUAAGUGUGUCCAUCAUUUCUGAUUUUUCUAAAAAUUUACUUUUUUAUUUGACAAGUACUUUUUGGCUCCUUCCGUGUAUGCAUUAAUAUGUAUAUAAGGUGUUAUGGGAAAUACUAAUAAAAGGAAAAUAUUGGGCAUAAAGAGUUUGUAUUUUGGUGUGGCAGAGUGGAAGUUUUACUUACAUUAAUUCAGAUGUAAAGAAAAUGUAGCUUGUUUAUUUUCUGUAAUUUUAACUUCAAGUCC
rnacentral:lncRNA from 10 species